CAAUAGCGUAUAUUAAUGUUGUUGCAGUUAAAAAGCUCGUAGUUGGAUUUCUGGUGGAAGCGACCGGUCCGCCCCUCACAGGGUGUGCACUGGCGUCUGUCUUUUGCCAUCCUUGCGAAGAAGCGGUGUGGCAUUAAGUUGUCGCGCCGUCUGACUCGCAUCGUUUACUGUGAAAAAAUUAGAGUGUUUAAAGCAGGCAAUUGCUGUGAAUACAUUAGCAUGGAAUAAUAAGAUAGGACUUUGGUACUAUUUUGUUGGUUUGCAUAUCAAAGUAAUGAUUAACAGGGACAGUUGGGGGUAUUCGUAUUUCGUUGUCAGAGGUGAAAUUCUUGGAUUUAUGAAAGACGAACUACUGCGAAAGCAUUUACCAAGGAUGUUUUCAUUAA
rnacentral:rRNA from 1 species